UGGGAUAAAACAACGUGACCAAAAGCUUAC
rnacentral:piRNA from 1 species